GCCGGGCGUGGUGGUGCGUGCCUGUAAUCCCAGCUACUCGGGAGGCUGAGGCAGGAGAAUUGCUUGAACCCGGGAGUCGGAGGUUGCAGUGAGCCGAGAUCGCGCCACUGCAAUCCAGCCUGGGCGACAGAGUGAGACUCCGUCUCAA
ensembl:misc_RNA Metazoa_SRP Metazoan signal recognition particle RNA